rnacentral:rRNA from 1 species
UCUUGCAAACUAAAGAUGGCGACCGGCGCACGGUGAGUAACACGUAUCCAACCUGCCGAUAACUCGGGGAUAGCCUUUCGAAAGAAAGAUUAAUAUCCGAUAGUAUAUUAAAACCGCAUGGUUUUACUAUUAAAGAAUUUCGGUUAUCGAUGGGGAUGCGUUCCAUUAGUUGUUGGCGGGGUAACGGCCCACCAAGACUACGAUGGAUAGGGGUUCUGAGAGGAAGGUCCCCCACAUUGGAACUGAGACACGGUCCAA